rnacentral:rRNA from 1 species
UGCAAGGUCGAACGGCAAGAGGUAGCAAUACCUCCUAGAGUGGCGGACUGGUGAGUAACACGUGGGUGACAUACCCUUCAGAUGGGGAUAGCUAUUAGAAAUAGUAGAUAAUACCGAAUACGAGCACAGGGGUUAGAGAUCUGUGAGGAAAGGAGCUAAGGCUCCGCUGAAGGAAUGGCCUGCGGCCCAUUAGCUAGUUGGUGAGGUAAGAGCCCACCAAGGCGAUGAUGGGUAUCCGGCCUUAGAGGGUGAACGGACACAUUGGGACUGAGAUACGGCCCAGACUCCUACGGGAGGCAGCAGCUAAGAAUAUUCCGCAAUGGACGAAAGUCUGACGGAGCGACGCCGCGUGGAUGAAGAAGGCCGGAAGGUUGUAAAAUCCUUUUGAAACUGAAGAAUAAGCGUUGUAGGGAAUGACAGCGUGGUGACAGUAGGUUUUGAAUAAGCAACGGCUAAUUACGUGCCAGCCGCUGC